UCGGGCUGAACACGGUGCGCUUCACCUCGGAGUUCCCACUCCACUCCAAGGAUCCAACAGCGCACAAGCUGCUCUUCACGGGCAACUACCUCUGCAAGCUUCACCCCCGGCCCCGCCACGCCCCGCAGGGUUCCCUGUCUGGUCUGGAUCACCUCGCUCUCCCUGCGCCUCUCUCCUUGGCCUAGCUAGACAAGUGCUUCUCACGAUCCAGCGCGUUUACCGCUCGGUUUCGUCGCCGCUAAGGGGUGGUGGUGUCUGAUCCGUCAGGCUCUGCGCUUCUCUCUCGGAUCCAUCCUCAAUGUCCAGGCAGGACUCUCACAUGAAGCCGGUGCUGUCUGCUGUUCACUCUAAGAUGUCCAGCCACUCAGGACAGUUACGAUCUGUCAUCCAGGGCCCAAACCGACUCUCCUCUAUUGCUAUCUGAGACUCUUCCACCUGUAUGCCCAUCUUCAUAGACCGGCCCAUCACUGGUGCCUCAAGCAUUUUCACUAUCACAGCCAGUAAUCUGCAGACUCAACCUCAAGCCUACUUUGUACUUUGGUAUAAACUGCAUGGAUACCAAUCCCUUUUCACAGGUUUUCAUCUCCUGGUCUCCCAUAGGAUCCAGGAUGAGUAUCCUCCCAUUUGACCAGUUCCAUCCCAGUAUGGAGCAGAUAUCCCUUGUAAAGAACACAGUCUCCACCAGCCCACCUGCUUUUAUGGUCAACAGCCCUACCUGAAUUUCCAACAUUGCCUUUUGACCCAAGAAACACCUAUCACCUGAAAUCUAGGGUUCCAGACAGGCAUCAACAGGAAACCACUCUCUUCAAUGCCCUGUCUUUUCUGGCCCACCUACCACUGCUUCUGCAGUCACCUCCACUAUAGUAAGCAGACCCUCUUCAGACUUGGCAUCCAAGCCUGCCUUUUACUCUGAUGAAAUCAACAUGGAUACCAUGCCCAUUUCCCCAUCUGUUAUCUUCCUGUCUCUCCCUGCAAUGUUAACAGCUGUUUCCCUUUGAAGAACCUGGCAGCCCCCAGAAAUCCUUCCUACUUAACCUCUACUGCAGCCCUGGAACCCAAUGACAGCACCACUCAGGCAGCUUUUGGGAAUUUGACUCCCCCAUGUCCACCUUUGGCAUCUGCUAUGGUUUGAAUGUGUCAACCAAAUUUCGUGUAUUAAAAACUCAAUCCCCAA
rnacentral:lncRNA from 1 species